GUGGAUGAGGGGCUAAUGGCUCUAUAUUGGGGGGGGGCUGUGUGGGGGAAGAAAGCUGAGUAUUUGUUCUAUGUCUUGUUGUUAAUAUUAUAUACUCUUUUUUACAUUUUUAGAUUAUGGCACCAAAGAAACUAAUUCUGUUGAGUGAAAAGGAACCUGAAGCACAAAGAACUAACAUGCAAUCCCAAGGGCAAGGUGAUCCGACAUGUUUUGGCAACGAGCCAGUGCGAGACAGACCAAGUGGACAUCACCAUCAAACAGCAGAUAAUCGAAUUGGGACAACUGAGUGGUAAAAUUACGACAGACUUCCUAUCGGUCAUUCAUCGCCUGGAUUUAUGGCUACUUAGGGCCCAAGAAACGGGUGCCUAUUCCAGCCUGUGUCGUUCAAAAAGUCCGCAGCUCUUAUCCAGACCCCAAAGGCCGGUACAGAGGAUUUCUACAGGCAUUUGACUAUAAUGCUUUUGAUAUGGCUUUGGACUGAUGCCUUUUGUGAUUGUUUAUUUUUCAU